UUUACGGCGUUGUAAAGACAUGGAGCCAGGGAAAACAACUUAGGACGUCGUAGUGCAUUGAGAGUGGAAGAACUAGACCAAUAGUAACCUGCGCAGUCACGCGGAACCACGCGAUUUACGUGUAAGGCCUUUAAUAGGCGGCAAAUGGCCGUAUUAUAGCCUUUUCAUGGCGUGUGCAUGUGGAUUACGGCGUUCUGAAGCCAUGGAACCAGGAAUAACAACUUAGGACGUUCUAGUGUAUUGAGGGUGGAAGGACUAGACCAAUGGUAACCUGCGCAGGCACGCGAAACCACACGAUUACGUGUAAGGCAUUUAAUGGGCGGCAAUAGGCCGUAUUAUAGCCUUUUCAUGGCGUGUGCAUGUCGUUUACGGCGUUGUAAAGCCAUGGAACCAGGGAAAACAACUUACGACGGCGAAGUGUAUUGACAGUGGAAGAACUAGACCAAUGGUAACAAGUUUUGACGCGUGGAAACACGUGAUUUACCUUUAUUAGGCGUCAAAAGGCCGUAUUAUAGCCUUUUCAUGGCGUGUGCAUGUGUUUUACGGCGUUGUAAAGACAUGGAGCCAGGGAAAACAACUUAGGACGUCCUAGUGCAUUGAGAGUGGAAGAACUAGACCAAUAGUAACCUGCGCAGUCACGCGGAACCACGCGAUUUACGUGUAAGGCCUUUAAUAGGCGGCAAAUGGCCGUAUUAUAGCCUUUUCAUGGCGUGUGCAUGUGGAUUACGGCGUUCUGAAGCCAUGGAACCAGGAAUAACAACUUAGGACGUUCUAAUGUAUUGAGGGUGGAAGGACUAGACCAAUGGUAACCUGCGCAGGCACGCGAAACCACACGAUUACGUGUAAGGCAUUUAAUGGGCGGCAAUAGGCCGUAUUGCAGCUUUUAGACGUGUGUGCAUGUAAUUGACGGCGUUCCAAAGCCAUGGAGCCAGGGAAAAUAACUUAGGACGUCGUAGUGUAUUGAGAGUGGAAGGACUAGACCAAUGGUAACCUGUGCAGUGACGCAGAACCACGCGAUGUACGUGUAUGGCAUUUAAUAGGCAUCAAAGGCCGUAUUAUAGCCUUUUCAUGGCGUGUGCAUGUGGUUUACGGCGUUGUAAAGCCAUGGAACCAGGAAUAACAACUUAGGACGUUCUAGUGUAUUGAGAGUGGAAAGACUAGACCAAUGGUAACCUGCGCAGGCACGCGAAACCACACAAUUACAUGUAAGGCAUUUAAUAGGCAUCAAAAGUCCGUAUUAUAGCCUUUUCAUGGCGUGUGCAUGUGGUUUACGGCGUUGUAAAGCCAUGGAACCAGGGAAAACAACUUAGGAGGGCGUAGUGUAUUGAGAGUGGAAGAACUAGACCAAUGGUAACAAGCUUGGACGCUUGGAACCCCGUGAUGUACCUGUAAGGCCUUUAAUAGGUGGCAAAAUGCCGUAUUGCAGCCUUUUCAUGGCGUGUGCAUGUGGAUUACAGCGUUCUGAAGCCAUGCAACCAGGAAUAACAACUUAGGACGUUCUAGUGUAUUGAGAGUGGAAGAACUAGACCAAUGGUAACAAGCUUGGACGCGUGGAACCACGUGAUUUACCUUUAUUAGGCGUCAAAAGGCCGUAUUAUAGCCUUUUCAUGGCGUGUGCAUGUGGAUUACGGCGUUCUGAAGCCAUGGAACCAGGAAUAACAACUUAGGACGUUCUAGUGUAUUGAGGGUGGAAGGACUAGACCAAUGGUAACCUGCGCAGGCACGCGAAACCACACGAUUACGUGUAAGGCAUUUAAUGGGCGGCAAUAGGCCGUAUUAUAGCCUUUUCAUGGCGUGUGCAUGUGGUUUACGGCGUUGUAAAGCCAUGGAACCAGGGAAAACAACUUACGACGGCGUAGUGUAUUGACAGUGGAAGAACUAGACCAAUGGUAACAAGUUUUGACGCGUGGAAACACGUGAUUUACCUUUAUUAGGCGUCAAAAGGCCGUAUUAUAGCCUUUUCAUGGCGUGUGCAUGUGUUUUACGGCGUUGUAAAGACAUGGAGCCAGGGAAAACAACUUAGGACGUCCUAGUGCAUUGAGAGUGGAAGAACUAGACCAAUGGUAACCUGCGCAGACACGCAGACCAACGUGAUUUACGUGUAAGGACUUUAUUAGGCGGCAAAGGCGGUAUUAUUGCUUUUCAAUGGCGUGUGCAUGUAGUUGACGGCGUUCCAAAGCUAUGGAGCCAGAGAAAACAACUUAGGACGUCGUAGUGCAUUGACAGUGGAAGGACUAGACCAAUGGUAACUUUUGCAUUGACGCAGAACCACGCGAUGUACGUGUAUGGCAUUUAAUAGGCGUCAAAAGGCCGUAUUAUAGCUUUUUCAUGGCGUGUGCAUGUGGUUUACGGCGUUGUAAAGCCAUGGAACCAGGAAAAACAACUUAGGACGGCGUAGUGUAUUGAGAGUGGAAGGAGUAGACCAAUGGUAACCUGCGCAGGCACGCGGAACCACGCGAUUUACGUGUAAGGCAUUUAAUAGGCAUCAAAAGUCCGUAUUAUAGCCUUUUCAUGGCGUGUUCAUGUGGUUUACAGCGUUGUAAAGCCAUGGAACCAGGAAAAACAACUUAGGACGCUCUCGUGUAUUGAGAGUGAAAGAACUAGACUAAUGGUUACAAGCUUGGACGGGUGGAACCACGUGAUUUACCUGUAAGGCCUUUAUUAGGCGUCAAAAGGCCGUAUUAUAGCCUUUUUAUGGCGUGUGCAUGUGGAUUACGGCUUUCUAAAGCCAUUGAACCAGGAAUAACAACUUAGGACGUUCUAGUGUAUUGAGAGUGGAAGGACUAGACCAAUGGUAACCUGCGCAGGCACGCGAAACCACACGAUUACGUGUAAGGCAUUUAAUAGGCGUUAAAAGGCCGUAUUAUAGCCUUUCAAUGGCGUGUGCAUGUGGUUUACGGCGUUGUAAAGCCAUGGAACCAGGAAAAACAACUUAGGACGGCGUAGUGUAUUGAGAGUGGAAGAACUAGACCAAUGGUAACAAGCUUGGACGCGUGGAACCACGUGAUUUACCUUUAUUAGGCGUCAAAAGGCCGUAUUAUAGCCUUUUCAUGGCGUGUGCAUGUGGUUUACGGCGUUGUAAAGCCAUGGAACCAGGAAAAACAACUUAGGACGCUCUCGUGUAUUGAGAGUGGAAAGACUAGACCAAUGGUAACCUGCGCAGGCACGCAGACCAACGUGAUUUACGUGUAAGGACUUUAAUAGGCGGCAAAGGCGGUAUUAUUGCUUUUCAAUGGCGUGUGCAUGUAGUUGACGGCGUUCCAAAGCUAUUGAGCCAGAGAAAACAACUUAGGACGGCGUAGUGUAUUGAGAGUGGAAGAACUAGACCAAUGGUAACAAGCUUGGACGCGUGGAACCACGUGAUUUACCUUUAUUGGCGUCAAAAGGCCGUAUUAUAGCCUUUUCAUGGCGUAUCCAUGUGGUUUACGGCGUUCUAAAGCCAUGGAACCAGGAAAAACAACUUAGGACGGCGUAGUGUAUUGAGAGUGGAAGAACUAGACCAAUGGUAACAAGCUUGGACGCGUGGAAUCACGUGAUUUACCUGUAAGGCCUUUAUUAGGCGUCAAAAGGCCGUAUUAUAGCCUUUUCAUGGCGUCUGCAUGUGGUUUACAGCGUUGUAAAGCUAUGGAGCCAGAGAAAACAACUUAGGACGUCGUAGUGCAUUGACAGUGGAAGGACUAGACCAAUGGUAACCUGCGCAGGCACGCAGAACGACGCAAUUUACGUGUAAGGCAUUUAAUAGGCGUCAAAAGGCCGUAUUAUAGCCUUUUCAUGGCGUGUGCAUGUGGUUUACGCCGUUGUAAAGCCAUGGAACCAGGAAACCAACUUAGGACGGCGUAGUGUAUUGAGAGUGGAAGAACUAGACCAAUGAGAACAAGCUUGGACGCGUGGAACCUUGUGAUUUACGUGUAAGGCCUUCAUUAGGCGUCCAGAGGCCGUAUUAUAGCCUUUUCAUGGCGUGUGCAUGUGGAUUACGGCGUUGUAAAGCCAUGGAGCCAGGGAAAACAACUUAGGACGGCGUAGUGUAUUGAGAGUGGAAGAACUAGACCAAUGGUAACAAGCUUGGACGCGUGGAACCCCGUGAUUUACGUGUAAGGCAUUUAAUGGGCGUCAAAAGGCCGUAUUAUAGCCUUUUCAUGGCGUGUGCACGUGGUUUACGGCGUUGUAAAGCCAUGGACCCAGGAAAAACAACUUAGGACGGCGUAGUGUAUUGGGAGUGGAAGAACUAGACCAAUGGUAACAAGCUUGGACGCGUGGAACCACGUGAUUUACCUUUAUUAGGCUUCAAAAGGCCGUAUUAUAGCCUUUUCAUGGCGUGUGCAUGUGGUUUACGGCGUUGUAAAGCUAUGGAGCCAGAGAAAACAACUUAGGACGUCGUAGUGCAUUGACAGUGGAAGGACUAGACCAAUGGUAACCUGUGCAGUGACGCAGAACCGCGCGAUGUACGUGUAUGGCAUUUAAUAGGCGUCAAAAGGCCGUAUUAUAGCCUUUUCAUGGCGUGUGCAUGUGGUUUACGCCGUUGUAAAGCCAUGGAACCAGGAAAAACAACUUAGGACGGCGUAGUGUAUUGAGAGUGGAAGGAGUAGACCAAUGGUAACCUGCACAGCCACGCGGAACCACGCAAUUUACGUGUAAGGCAUUUAAUAGGCGUCAAAAGGCCGUAUUAUAGCCUUUUCAUGGCGUGUGCAUGUGGUUUACGGCGUUGUAAAGCCAUGGAAACAGGGAAAACAACUUAGGACGGCGUAGUGUAUUGAGAGUGGAAGAACUAGACCAAUGGUAACAAGCUUUGACGCGUGGAACCCCGUGAUUUACGUGUAAGGCAUUUAAUAGGCGUUAAAAGGCCGUAUUAUAGCCUUUUCAUGGCGUGUGCAUGUGGAUUACGGCGUUCUGAAUCCAUGGAACCAGGGAAAACAACUUAGGACGGUCUAGUCCAUUGAGAAUGGAAGGAAUAGACCAAUGAGAGCAAGCUUGGACGCCAAACCACACGAUUACGUGUAAGGCAUUUAAUGGGCGGCAAUAGGCCGUAUUGCAGCUUUUAGACGUGUUUGCAUGUAAUUGACGGCGUUCCAAAGCCAUGGAGCCAGGGAAAAUAACUUAGGACGUCGUAGUGUAUUGAGAGUGGAAGGACUAGACCAAUGGUAACCUGCGCAGGCACGCAGAACGACGCAAUUUACGUGUAAGGCAUUUAAUAGGCGUCAAAAGGACCUAUUAUAGCCUUUUCUUGGCGUGUGCAUGUGUUUUACGGCGUUGUAAAGACAUGGAGCCAGGGAAAACAACUUAGGACGUCCUAGUGCAUUGAGAGUGGAAGAACUAGAACAAUGGUAACAAGCUUGGACGCGUUGAACCCUGUGAUUUACGUGUAAGGCAUUUAAUAGGCGUUAAAAGGCCGUAUUAUAGCCUUUUCAUGGCGUGUGCAUGUGGAUUACGGCGUUCUGAAUCCAUGGAACCAGGGAAAACAACUUAGGACGGUCUAGUCCAUUGAGAAUGGAAGGAAUAGACCAAUGAGAGCAAGCUUGGACGCGUGGAACCACGUAAUUUAAGUGUAAGGCCUUUGAUAGGCGUCAAAAGGCCGUAUUAUAGCCUUUUCAUGGCGUGUGCAUGUGUUUUACGGCGUUGUAAAGACAUGGAGCCAGGGAAAACAGCUUAGGACGUCCUAGUGCAUUGAGAGUGGAAGAACUAGACCAAUAGUAACCUGCGCAGUCACGCGGAACUACGCGAUUUACGUGCAAGGCCAUUAAUAGGCGGCAAAUGGCCGUAUUAUAGCCUUUUCAUGGCGUGUGCAUGUGGAUUACGGCGUUCUGAAGCCAUGGAACCAGGAAUAACAACUUAGGACGCUUUAGUCUAUUGAGAAUGGAAGGACUAGACCAAUGGUAACCUGCGCAGGCACGCCAAACCACACGAUUACGUGUAAGGCAUUUAAUGGGCGGCAAUAGGCCGUAUUGCAGCUUUUAGACGUGUUUGCAUGUAAUUGACGGCGUUCCAAAGCCAUGGAGCCAGGGAAAAUAACUUAGGACGUCGUAGUGUAUUGAGAGUGGAAGGACUAGACCAAUGGUAACCUGCGCAGGCACGCAGAACGACGCAAUUUACGUGUAAGGCAUUUAAUAGGCGUCAAAAGGACCUAUUAUAGCCUUUUCUUGGCGUGUGCAUGUGUUUUACGGCGUUGUAAAGACAUGGAGCCAGGGAAAACAACUUAGGACGUCCUAGUGCAUUGAGAGUGGAAGAACUAGACCAAUGGUAACAAGCUUGGACGCGUUGAACCCUGUGAUUUACGUGUAAGGCAUUUAAUAGGCGUCAAAAGGCCGUAUUAUAGCCUUUUCAUGGCGUGUGCAUGUGGUUUACGGCGUUGUAAAGCCAUGGAACCAGGAAAAACAACUUAGGACGGCGUAGUGUAUUGAGAGUGGAAGAAGUAGAACAAUGGUAACAAGCUUGGACGCGUGGAACCACGUGAUUUACCUUUAUUAGGCGUCCAGAGGCUGUAUUAUAGCCUUUUCAUGGCGUGUGCAUGUGUUUUACGGCGUUGUAAAGACAUGGAGCCAGGGAAAACAACUUAGGACGUCCUAGUGUAUUGAAGGUGGAAGGACUAGACCAAUGGUAACCUGCGCAGGCACGUGAAACCACACGAUUACGUGUAAGGCAUUUAAUGGUCGGCAAUAGGCCGUAUUGCAGCUUUUAGACGUGUUUGCAUGUAAUUGACGGCGUUCCAAAGCCAUGGAGCCAGGGAAAAUAACUUAGGACGUCGUAGUGUAUUGAGAGUGGAAGGACUAGACCAAUGGUAACCUGUGCAGGCACGCAGAACCACGCAAUUUACGUGUAAGGCAUUUAAUAGGCGUCAAAAGGCCGUAUUAUAGCCUUUUCAUGGCGUGUGCAUGUGGUUUACGCCGUUGUAAAGCCAUGGAACCAGGAAAAACAACUUAGGACGGCGUAGUGUAUUGAGAGUGGAAGAACUAGAACAAUGGUAACAAGCUUGGACGCGUGGAACCACGUGAUUUACCUUUAUUAGGCGUCCAGAGGCUGUAUUAUAGCCUUUUCAUGGCGUGUGCAUGUGGAUUACGGCGUUGUAAAGCCAUGGAGCCAGGGAAAACAACUUAGGACGGCGUAGUGUAUUGAGAGUGGAAGAACUAGACCAAUGGUAACAAGCUUGGACGCGUGGAACCCUGUGAUUUACGUGUAAGGCAUUUAAUGGGCGUCAAAAGGCCGUAUUAUAGCCUUUUCAUGGCGUGUGCAUGUGGUUUACGCCGUUGUAAAGCCAUGGAACCAGGAAACCAACUUAGUACGGCGUAGUGUAUUGAGAGUGGAAGAACUAGACCAAUGAGAACAAGCUUGGAAGCGUGGAACCACGUAAUUUAAGUGUAAGGCCUUUGAUAGGCCUUAAAAGGCCGUAUUAUAGCCUUUUCAUGGCGUGUGCAUGUGUGUUACGGCGUUGUAAAGACAUGGAGCCAGGGAAAACAACUUAGGACGUCCUAGUGCAUUGAGAGUGGAAGAACUAGACCAAUAGUAACCUGCGCAGUCACGCGGAACCACGCGAUUUACGUGUAAGGCCUUUAAUAGGCGGCAAAUGGCCGUAUUAUAGCCUUUUCAUGGCGUGUGCAUGUGGAUUACGGCGUUCUGAAGCCAUGGAACCAGGAAUAACAACUUAGGACGUUCUAGUGUAUUGAGGGUGGAAGGACUAGACCAAUGGUAACCUGCGCAGGCACGCGAAACCACACGAUUACGUGUAAGGCAUUUAAUGGGCGGCAAUAGGCCGUAUUGCAGCUUUUAGACGUGUUUGCAUGUAAUUGACGGCGUUCCAAAGCCAUGGAGCCAGGGAAAAUAACUUAGGACGUCGUAGUGUAUUGAGAGUGGAAGGACUAGACCAAUGGUAACCUGCGCAGGCACGCAGAACCACGCAAUUUACGUGUAAGGCAUUUAAUAGGCGUCAAAAGGACCUAUUAUAGCCUUUUCAUGGCGUGUGCAUGUGGUUUACGGCGUUGUAAAGCCAUGGAACCAGGAAAAACAACUUAGGACGCUCUCGUGUAUUGAGAGUGGAAAGACUAGACCAAUGGUAGCCUGCACAGGCACGCAGACCAACGUGAUUUACGUGUAAGGACUUUAAUAGGCGGCAAAGGCGGUAUUAUUGCUUUUCAAUGGCGUGUGCAUGUAGUUGACGGCGUUCCAAAGCGAUGGAACCAGAGAAAACAACUUAGGACGUCGUAGUGCAUUGACAGUGGAAGGACUAGACCAAUGGUAACCUGUGCAGUGACGCAGAACCACGCGAUGUACGUGUAUGGCAUUUAAUAAGCGUCAAAAGGCCGUAUUAUAGCCUUUUCAUGGCGUGUGCAUGUGGUUUACGGCGUUGUAAAGCCAUGGAACCAGGGAAAACAACUUAGGACGUUCUAGUGUAUUGAGAGUGGAAGAACUAGACCAAUGGUAACAAGCUUGAACGCGUGGAACCCCGUGAUGUACCUGUAAGGUCUUUAUUAAGCGUCAAAAGGCCGUAUUAUAGCCUUUUCAUGGCGUGUCCAUGUGAUUUACGGCGUUCUAAAGCCAUGGAACCAGGGAAAACAACUUAGGAUGGCGCAGUGUAUUGAGAGUGGAAGAACUAGACCAAUGGUAACAAGCUUGGACGCGUGGAACCACGUGAUUUACCUUUAUUAGGCGUCAAAAGGCCGUAUUAAAGCCUUUUCAUGGCGUGUGCAUGUGGAUUAAGGCUUUCUAAAGCCAUGGAACCGGGAAUAACAACUUAGGACGUUCUAGUCCAUUGACAGUGGAAGGACUAGAUCAAUGGUAACCUGCGCAGGCACGCGGACCCACCUGAUUUACGUGUAAGGCCUUUAAUAGGCGGCAAAAGGCCGUAUUGCAGCCUUCAGACGCAUGUGCACGUAGUUGACGGCGUUGUACAGCCUUGGCGCUGGGGAAAACAACUUAGGGCGUUCUAGUCCAUUGAGAAUGGAAGGACUAGACCAAUCGUAAUCGUCAUGGUCGCGUGGAACGACGUAAUUUACGUGUAAGGCCUUUAAUAGGCCGCAAAAGGCCGUAUUACAGCCCUUAGAGUCCUUUGCAUGUAGUUUACGGCGUUCCCAAGGCAUGGAGACAGGAAGAACAACUUAGGACGUCGUAGUGUAUUGAGAGUGGAAGGACUACGCCAAUGGUAACAAGUUUGGACGCGUGGAACCACGUGAUUUACGUGUAAAGCCUUUAAUAGGCCGCAAAAGGACGCAUUAAAGCCUUUUUAUGACGUGUGCAUGUGGUUUACAGCGUUCUAAAGCCAUCGAACCAGGGAAAACAACUUAGGACGUUCUAGUCCAUUGAGAAUGGAAGGAAUAGACCAAUGAGAGCAAGCUUGGACGCGUGGAACCACGUGAUUUAUGUGUAAGGCCUUUAUUAGGCGUCCAAAGGACGUAUUAUAGCCUUUUCAUGGCGUGUGCAUGUGUUUCACGGCGUUGUAAAGACAUGGAGCCAGGGAAAACAACUUAGGACGUCCUAGUGCAUUGAGAGUGGAAGAACUAGACCAAUGGUAACCCGUGCAGUGAUGCAGACCAACGUGAUUUAUGUGUAAGGUCUUUGUUAGGCGGCAAAGGCGGUAUUAUUGCUUUUCAAAGGCGUGUGCAUGUAGUUGACGGCGUUCCAAAGCUAUGGAGCCAGAGAAAACAACUUAGGAUGUCGUAGUGCAUUGACAGUGGAAGGACUAGACCAAUGGUAACCUGUGCAGUGACGCAGAACCACGCGAUGUACGUGUAUGGCAUUUAAUAGGCGUCCAAAGGCCGUAUCAUAGCCUUUUCAUGGCGUGUGCAUGUGGAUUACGGCGUUGUAAAGCCAUGGAGCCAGGGAAAACAACUUAGGACGGCGUAGUGUAUUGAGAGUGGAAGAACUAGACCAAUGGUAACAAGCUUGGACGCGUGGAACCCCGUGAUUUACGUGUAAGGCAUUUAAUGGGCGUCAAAAGGCCGUAUUAUAGCCUUUUCAUGGCGUGUGCACGUGGUUUACGGCGUUGUAAAGCCAUGGAGCCAGGGAAAACAACUUAGGACGGCGUAGUGUAUUGAGAGUGGAAGAACUAGACCAAUGGUAACAAGCUUGGACGCGUGAAACCCUGUGAUUUACGUGUAAGGCAUUUAAUAGGCGUCAAAAGGCCGUAUUAUAGCCUUUUCAUGGCGUGUGCAUGUGGUUUACGCCGUUGUAAAGCCAUGGAACCAGGAAACCAACUUAGGACGGCGUAGUGUAUUGAGAGUGGAAGAACUAGACCAAUGAGAACAAGCUUGGAAGCGUGGAACCACGUAAUUUAAGUGUAAGGCAUUUAAUAGGCGUCAAAAGGCCGUAUUAUAGCCUUUUCAUGGCGUGUGCAUGUGGUUUACGGCGUUGUAAAGCCAUGGAACCAGGAAAAACAACUUAGGACGGCGUAGUGUAUUGAGAGUGGAAGAACUAGAACAAUGGUAACAAGCUUGGACGCAUGGAACCACGUGAUUUACCUUUAUUAGGCGUCCAGAGGCUGUAUUAUAGCCUUUUCAUGGCGUGUGCAUGUGUUUUACGGCGUUGUAAAGACAUGGAGUCAGGGAAAACAACUUAGGACGUCCUAGUGCAUUGAGAGUGGAAGAACUAGACCAAUAGUAACCUGCGCAGUCACGCGGAACCACGCGAUUUACGUGUAAGGCCUUUAAUAGGCGGCAAAUGGCCGUAUUAUAGCCUUUUCAUGGCGUGUGCAUGUGGAUUACGGCGUUCUGAAGCCAUGGAACCAGGAAUAACAACUUAGGACGUUCUAUUGUAUUGAGGGUGGAAGGACUAGACCAAUGGUAACCUGCGCAGGCACGCAAAACCACACGAUUACGUGUAAGGCAUUUAAUGGGCGGCAAUAGGCCGUAUUGAAGCUUUUAGACGUGUUUGCAUGUAAUUGACGGCGUUCCAAAGCCAUGGAGCCAGGGAAAAUAACUUAGGACGUCGUAGUGUAUUGAGAGUGGAAGGACUAGACCAAUAAUAACCUGUGCAGGCACGCGAAACCACACGAUUACGUGUAAGGCAUUUAAUAGGCGUCAAAAGGCCGUAUUAUAGCCUUUUCAUGGCGUGUACAUGUGGUUUACGGCGUUGUAAAGCCAUGGAACCAGAAAAAACAACUUAGGACGGCGUAGUGUAUCGAGAGUGGAAGAACUAGACCAAUGGUAACAAGCUUGGACGCGUGGAACCUUGUGAUUUACGUGUAAGGCCUUUAUUAGGCGUCCAGAGGCCGUAUUAUAGCCUUUUCAUGGCGUGUGCAUGUGGAUUACGGCGUUGUAAAGCCAUGGAGCCAGGGAAAACAACUUAGGACGGCGUAGUGUACUGAGAGUGGAAGAACUAGACCAAUGGUAACAAGUUUGGACGCGUGGAACCCCGUGAUUUACGUGUAAGGCAUUUAAUAGGCGUCAAAAGGCCGUAUUAUAGCCUUUUUAUGGCGUGUGCAUGUGGUUUACGGCGUUGUAAAGCCAUGGAACCAGGAAAAACAACUUAGGACGUUCUAGUGUAUUGAGAGUGGAAGGACUAGACCAAUGGUAACCUGCGCAGGCACGCGAAACCACACGAUUACGUGUAAGGCAUUUAAAAGGCGUCAAAAGGCCGUAUUAUAGCCUUUUCAUGGCGUGUACAUGUGGUUUACGGCGUUGUAAAGCCAUGGAACCAGAAAAAACAACUUAGGACGGCGUAGUGUAUCGAGAGUGGAAGAACUAGACCAAUGGUAACAAGCUUGGACGCGUGGAACCUUGUGAUUUACGUGUAAGGCCUUCAUUAGGCGUCCAGAGGCCGUAUUAUAGCCUUUUCAUGGCGUGUGCAUGUGGAUUACGGCGUUGUAAAGCCAUGGAGCCAUGGAAAACAACUUAGGACGGCGUAGUGUAUUGAGAGUGGAAGAACUAGACAAAUGGUAACAAGCUUGGACGCGUGGAACCCCGUGAUUUACGUGUAAGGCAUUUAAUGGGCGUCAAAAGGCCGUAUUAUAGCCUUUUCAUGGCGUGUGCACGUGGUUUACGGCGUUGUAAAGCCAUGGAGCCAGGGAAAACAACUUAGGACGGCGUAGUGUAUUGAGAGUGGAAGAACUAGACCAAUGGUAACAAGCUUGGACGCGUGGAACCCUGUGAUUUACGUGUAAGGCAUUUAAUAGGCGUCAAAAGGCCGUAUUAUAGCCUUUUCAUGGCGUGUGCAUGUGGUUUACGCCGUUGUAAAGCCAUGGAACCAGGAAACCAACUUAGGACGGCGUAGUGUAUUGAGAGUGGAAGAACUAGACCAAUGAGAACAAGCUUGGAAGCGUGGAACCACGUAAUUUAAGUGUAAGGUAUUUAAUAGGCGUCAAAAGGCCGUAUUAUAGCCUUUUCAUGGCGUGUGCAUGUGGUUUACGGCGUUGUAAAGCCAUGGAACCAGGAAAAACAACUUAGGACGGCGUAGUGUAUUGAGAGUGGAAGAACUAGAACAAUGGUAACAAGCUUGGACGCGUGGAACCACGUGAUUUACCUUUAUUAGGCGUCCAGAGGCUGUAUUAUAGCCUUUUCAUGGCGUGUGCAUGUGUUUUACGGCGUUGUAAAGACAUGGAGCCAGGGAAAACAACUUAGGACGUCCUAGUGCAUUGAGAGUGGAAGAACUAGACCAAUAGUAACCUGCGCAGUCACGCGGAACCACGCGAUUUACGUGUAAGGCCUUUAAUAGGCGGCAAAUGGCCGUAUUAUAGCCUUUUCAUGGCAUGUGCAUGUGGAUUACGGCGUUCUGAAGCCAUGGAACCAGGAAUAACAACUUAGGACGUUCUAUUGUAUUGAGGGUGGAAGGACUAGACCAAUGGUAACCUGCGCAGGCACGCAAAACCACACGAUUACGUGUAAGGCAUUUAAUGGGCGGCAAUAGGCCGUAUUGCAGCUUUUAGACGUGUUUGCAUGUAAUUGACGGCGUUCCAAAGCCAUGGAGCCAGGGAAAAUAACUUAGGACGUCGUAGUGUAUUGAGAGUGGAAGGACUAGACCAAUGGUAACCUGCGCAGGCACGCAGAACCACGCAAUUUACGUGUAAGGCAUUUAAUAGGCGUCAAAAGGCCGUAUUAUAGCCUUUUCAUGGCGUGUGCAUGUGGUUUACGCCGUUGUAAAGCCAUGGAACCAGGAAAAACAACUUAGGACGGCGUAGUGUAUUGAGAGUGGAAGAACUAGAACAAUGGUAGCAAGCUUGGACGCGUGGAACCACGUGAUUUACCUUUAUUAGGCGUCCAGAGGCUGUAUUAUAGCCUUUUCAUGGCGUGUGCAUGUGGAUUACGGCGUUGUAAAGCCAUGGAGCCAGGGAAAACAACUUAGGACGGCGUAGUGUAUUGAGAGUGGAAGAACUAGACCAAUGGUAACAAGCUUGGACGCGUGGAACCCUGUGAUUUACGUGUAAGGCAUUUAAUAGGCGUCAAAAGGCCGUAUUAUAGCCUUUUCAUGGCGUGUGCAUGUGGUUUACGCCGUUGUAAAGCCAUGGAACCAGGAAACCAACUUAGGACGGCGUAGUGUAUUGAGAGUGGAAGAACUGGACCAAUGAGAACAAGCUUGGAAGCGUGGAACCACGUAAUUUAAGUGUAAGGCCUUUGAUAGGCCUUAAAAGGCCGUAUUAUAGCCUUUUCAUGGCUUGUGCAUGUGGAUUACGGCGUUCUGAAGCCAUGGAACCAGGAAUAACAACUUAGGACGUUCUAGUGUAUUGAGGGUGGAAGGACUAGACCAAUGGUAACCUGCGCAGGCACGCGAAACCACACGAUUACGUGUAAGGCAUUUAAUGGGCGGCAAUAGGCCGUAUUGCAGCUUUUAGACGUGUUUGCAUGUAAUUGACGGCGUUCCAAAGCCAUGGAGCCAGGGAAAAUAACUUAGGACGUCGUAGUGUAUUGAGAGUGGAAGGACUAGACCAAUGGUAACCUGCGCAGGCACGCAGAACCACGCAAUUUACGUGUAAGGCAUUUAAUAGGCGUCAAAAGGACCUAUUAUAGCCUUUUCAUGGCGUGUGCAUGUGGUUUACGGCGUUGUAAAGCCAUGGAACCAGGAAAAACAACUUAGGACGCUCUCGUGUAUUGAGAGUGAAAAGACUAGACCAAUGGUAACCUGCACAGGCACGCAGACCAACGUGAUUUACGUGUAAGGACUUUAAUAGGCGGCAAAGGCGGUAUUAUUACUUUUGAAUGGCGUGUGCAUGUAGUUGACGGCGUUCCAAAGCGAUGGAGCCAGAGAAAACAACUUAGGACGUCGUAGUGCAUUGACAGUGGAAGGACUAGACCAAUGGUAACCUGUGCAGUGACGCAGAACCACGCGAUGUACGUGUAUGGCAUUUAAUAAGCGUCAAAAGGCCGUAUUAUAGCCUUUUCAUGGCGUGUGCAUGUGGUUUACGGCGUUGUAAAGCCAUGGAACCAGGAAUAACAACUUAGGACGUUCUAGUGUAUUGAGAGUGGAAAGACUAGACCAAUGGUAACCUGCGCAGGCACGCGAAACCACGCAAUUUACGUGUAAGGCAUUUAAUAGGCGUCAAAAGGCCGUAUUAUAGCCUUUUCAUGGCGUGUGCAUGUGGUUUACGCCGUUGUAAAGCCAUGGAACCAGGAAAAACAACUUAGGACGGCGUAGUGUAUUGAGAGUGGAAGAACUAGAACAAUGGUAACAAGCUUGGACGCGUGGAACCACGUGAUUUACCUUUAUUAGGCGUCCAGAGGCUGUAUUAUAGCCUUUUCAUGGCGUGUGCAUGUGGAUUACGGCGUUGUAAAGCCAUGGAGCCAGGGAAAACAACUUAGGACGGCGUAGUGUAUUGAGAGUGGAAGAACUAGACCAAUGGUAACAAGCUUGGACGCGUGGAACCCUGUGAUUUACGUGUAAGGCAUUUAAUGGGCGUCAAAAGGCCGUAUUAUAGCCUUUUCAUGGCGUGUGCAUGUGGUUUACGCCGUUGUAAAGCCAUGGAACCAGGAAACCAACUUAGUACGGCGUAGUGUAUUGAGAGUGGAAGAACUAGACCAAUGAGAACAAGCUUGGAAGCGUGGAACCACGUAAUUUAAGUGUAAGGCCUUUGAUAGGCCUUAAAAGGCCGUAUUAUAGCCUUUUCAUGGCGUGUGCAUGUGUGUUACGGCGUUGUAAAGACAUGGAGCCAGGGAAAACAACUUAGGACGUCCUAGUGCAUUGAGAGUGGAAGAACUAGACCAAUAGUAACCUGCGCAGUCACGCGGAACCACGCGAUUUACGUGUAAGGCCUUUAAUAGGCGGCAAAUGGCCGUAUUAUAGCCUUUUCAUGGCGUGUGCAUGUGGAUUACGGCGUUCUGAAGCCAUGGAACCAGGAAUAACAACUUAGGACGUUCUAGUGUAUUGAGGGUGGAAGGACUAGACCAAUGGUAACCUGCGCAGGCACGCGAAACCACACGAUUACGUGUAAGGCAUUUAAUGGGCGGCAAUAGGCCGUAUUGCAGCUUUUAGACGUGUUUGCAUGUAAUUGACGGCGUUCCAAAGCCAUGGAGCCAGGGAAAAUAACUUAGGACGUCGUAGUGUAUUGAGAGUGGAAGGACUAGACCAAUGGUAACCUGCGCAGGCACGCAGAACCACGCAAUUUACGUGUAAGGCAUUUAAUAGGCGUCAAAAGGACCUAUUAUAGCCUUUUCAUGGCGUGUGCAUGUGGUUUACGGCGUUGUAAAGCCAUGGAACCAGGAAAAACAACUUAGGACGCUCUCGUGUAUUGAGAGUGGAAAGACUAGACCAAUGGUAGCCUGCACAGGCACGCAGACCAACGUGAUUUACGUGUAAGGACUUUAAUAGGCGGCAAAGGCGGUAUUAUUGCUUUUCAAUGGCGUGUGCAUGUAGUUGACGGCGUUCCAAAGCGAUGGAACCAGAGAAAACAACUUAGGACGUCGUAGUGCAUUGACAGUGGAAGGACUAGACCAAUGGUAACCUGUGCAGUGACGCAGAACCACGCGAUGUACGUGUAUGGCAUUUAAUAAGCGUCAAAAGGCCGUAUUAUAGCCUUUUCAUGGCGUGUGCAUGUGGUUUACGGCGUUGUAAAGCCAUGGAACCAGGGAAAACAACUUAGGACGUUCUAGUGUAUUGAGAGUGGAAGAACUAGACCAAUGGUAACAAGCUUGAACGCGUGGAACCCCGUGAUGUACCUGUAAGGUCUUUAUUAAGCGUCAAAAGGCCGUAUUAUAGCCUUUUCAUGGCGUGUCCAUGUGAUUUACGGCGUUCUAAAGCCAUGGAACCAGGGAAAACAACUUAGGAUGGCGCAGUGUAUUGAGAGUGGAAGAACUAGACCAAUGGUAACAAGCUUGGACGCGUGGAACCACGUGAUUUACCUUUAUUAGGCGUCAAAAGGCCGUAUUAAAGCCUUUUCAUGGCGUGUGCAUGUGGAUUAAGGCUUUCUAAAGCCAUGGAACCGGGAAUAACAACUUAGGACGUUCUAGUCCAUUGACAGUGGAAGGACUAGAUCAAUGGUAACCUGCGCAGGCACGCGGACCCACCUGAUUUACGUGUAAGGCCUUUAAUAGGCGGCAAAAGGCCGUAUUGCAGCCUUCAGACGCAUGUGCACGUAGUUGACGGCGUUGUACAGCCUUGGCGCUGGGGAAAACAACUUAGGGCGUUCUAGUCCAUUGAGAAUGGAAGGACUAGACCAAUCGUAAUCGUCAUGGUCGCGUGGAACGACGUAAUUUACGUGUAAGGCCUUUAAUAGGCCGCAAAAGGCCGUAUUACAGCCCUUAGAGUCCUUUGCAUGUAGUUUACGGCGUUCCCAAGGCAUGGAGACAGGAAGAACAACUUAGGACGUCGUAGUGUAUUGAGAGUGGAAGGACUACGCCAAUGGUAACAAGUUUGGACGCGUGGAACCACGUGAUUUACGUGUAAAGCCUUUAAUAGGCCGCAAAAGGACGCAUUAAAGCCUUUUUAUGACGUGUGCAUGUGGUUUACAGCGUUCUAAAGCCAUCGAACCAGGGAAAACAACUUAGGACGUUCUAGUCCAUUGAGAAUGGAAGGAAUAGACCAAUGAGAGCAAGCUUGGACGCGUGGAACCACGUGAUUUACGUGUAAGGCCUUUAUUAGGCGUCCAAAGGACGUAUUAUAGCCUUUUCAUGGCGUGUGCAUGUGUUUCACGGCGUUGUAAAGACAUGGAGCCAGGGAAAACAACUUAGGACGUCCUAGUGCAUUGAGAGUGGAAGAACUAGACCAAUGGUAACCCGUGCAGUGAUGCAGACCAACGUGAUUUAUGUGUAAGGUCUUUGUUAGGCGGCAAAGGCGGUAUUAUUGCUUUUCAAAGGCGUGUGCAUGUAGUUGACGGCGUUCCAAAGCUAUGGAGCCAGAGAAAACAACUUAGGAUGUCGUAGUGCAUUGACAGUGGAAGGACUAGACCAAUGGUAACCUGUGCAGUGACGCAGAACCACGCGAUGUACGUGUAUGGCAUUUAAUAGGCGUCAAAAGGCCGUAUUAUAGCCUUUUCAUGGCGUGUGCAUGUGCUUUACGGCGUUAUAAAGCCAUGGAACCAGGGAAAACAACUUAGGACGGCGUAGUGUAUUGAGAGUGGAAGAACUAGAAUAAUGGUAACAAGCUUGGACGCGUGGAACCACGUGAUUUACGGGUAAGGCCUUUAUUACGCGUCCAAAGGCCGUAUCAUAGCCUUUUCAUGGCGUGUGCAUGUGGAUUACGGCGUUGUAAAGCCAUGGAGCCAGGGAAAACAACUUAGGACGGCGUAGUGUAUUGAGAGUGGAAGAACUAGACCAAUGGUAACAAGCUUGGACGCGU